ensembl:snoRNA SNORA70 Small nucleolar RNA SNORA70
CUGCUACCAAUUAAGCCAACUGUGCUCUUUUUCUCAUGGGAACCCGGUGUGCAAUGGCUGUCAACAGCAGAUUCCUUGGUAGUAUAUGCAGCCUGCUGCUUGUGCAAGUUGCCCUAAGGGGCCUUGGAGACAGGC